ACAGAGCAGUAAGUCUGGUAACAUGUAACAUAGAAACUGACUGUAAAACACAGUGAAGACUUACAUGUUUAAAACGGACAAAAUAUGAAUGCUGGCCAAUUUAAAGUGAACAAAAAAUGGGUUGAGGAAACCGUGUUUACAUUAGUCACACCAGCAGAUUUGUUUAGUCCAGGGUGUCCAGUCUGAUCUGCAAAAGGUUGACGUGUCUGUAGAUUUUCAUUCUGACUAAACAGAAGCUCACCUGAGUCCACUUGUUCAAUCAGUUGGUCUCAGUCUUCAACAACUGACCAUGACCUGUGUUACACUGAACAUAAGCUGUCUGUGUUACAUUAAACCAACACUGCUACAUCUCUAAAUAACAUGAAGCUGAAAGUCUAAAUUCUAUCAGCUGAACUUUGUUCUUCAUCAGCAGUAAAAGUCAAACCUACAAUCACCUCAAACCCUGAAGGAGCUGCACUGACAGGAAACACAGUGACUCUGUACUGUAAACUCCAUCAGUCUGCUGGAUGGACAUUUUACUGGUCCAAACACACACAGAGCUCUGAGAAGGAGACCAUCACCAACGUCCACACCAUCAGCUCAGUUAGACUCUCUGAUGGAGGUCAGUACCAGUGCAGAGCUGGCAGAGGAAACCCAGUCUACUACACGCACUACAGUGAUGCACUCUGGGUAAACGUUACUGGAGCUCCAGUCUCAGCGCUCAGUCUCCUCAGCCGUUUAAUGGCAGUGUCUCCAUAUUUGCUGGUGUCCAUCGUGCUGGGGGUCAAAUGCUACAGAGCUCGAGCUGGACCUGAUGAGGAGAACAGAACAUAAGAACAGUGAGGGAAGCUGGAGCGUCUUCCUGAGUGAAUACCAGGAUUUUACAUUCUAUAUAUUUUAAUGUGCUUUAACAGCCAAUCAGAGAUUACUCAGUCUGACAGGUCAGAAAAGAGGCCUUAUAACAUCACGGCUGUGAUGAUCUACGACCAAAUCACGGCCGUGCUGUUCUUUUGCAACAGCGCACUGACUCUCGUGUUCUAUUGUUUAUUAAGCUACAAUCUCUUUGGCCUGAAAAGAUGAAGCUCCUGAACAAAAAUGAAGAGUCAGAAAAACCAAAUUCAUUCUAAUUAUUCAGGCCAGAACUAUGAUAAAUAUUUAUCUUAUACUCUUUAUACCUACAUUUCUUUGUUAGUUUUAAGUUGUUAAUUAAGUGCGUUUCCUCUUUGAUCUUCCUGUCCUUGAUAUUUAUCUUGGUUAAGCUGUUUGUACUAUAGAAAUAUUUGUUUUCAAUAUUUAUUUUUACUUAUUUUUCACUUUUUAUUCUUUUUAUAUAUUUUUAUCUUACUUCAUUGUCUUUAUCUUUAUCCUCAGAAAUAUGAUAAAGAUACCUGAAGUGUGAUUUGUUCUUUGUAAACUUUCUAAGAAAUGUAUGUCCUGAUUGGUCAAUGUUUCAAUAAAGACAGAAUGAAUAAUUUGAAUAAUAA